rnacentral:rRNA from 1 species
UACGUAGGGUGCAAGCGUUGUCCGGAAUUAUUGGGCGUAAAGAGCUCGUAGGCGGUUUGUCGCGUCUGCUGUGAAACCCGAGGCUCAACCUCGGGCCUGCAGUGGGUACGGGCAGACUAGAGUGCGGUAGGGGAGAUUGGAAUUCCUGGUGUAGCGGUGGAAUGCGCAGAUAUCAGGAGGAACACCAAUGGCGAAGGCAGAUCUCUGGGCCGUAACUGACGCUCAGGCACGAAAGCGUGGGGAGCAAAGGG